rnacentral:rRNA from 1 species
UACGUAGGCAGCGAGCGUUGUUCGGAGUUACUGGGCGUAAAGGGUGUGUAGGCGGUUGUUUAAGUUUGGUGUGAAAUCUCCCGGCUCAACCGGGAGGGUGCGCCGAAUACUGAAUGACUAGAGUGCGGGAGAGGAAAGUGGAAUUCCUGGUGUAGCGGUGAAAUGCGUAGAUAUAGGAAGGAACACCAGUGGCGAAGGCGACCACCUGGACUGAUACUGACACUGAGGUGCGAAAGCGUGGGGAGCAAACAGG